ACCUCCACAAUAUCACCUUCCUUUGCAACAACUCGUUUAAUGAAGACAUCAUCAUCAGUGUAUCCAACUUCCUGAAGCACUGGUGGACUUUUAAAAAUCACUAUAUCAUUUGCACAAGGCUUUCUGAAAUAGUACGUAACCUGAAAAUUUCAAGUUAUAUAUAUCUAUUAUGCAUAAUACUUGAUAACAAAUUACUCAAACCUAAUGCUUAAAAAUAAAGUUAGUGAAGGAAAUAUAUAUGCUUCAAUAAUUUAAAAGGAAAUAAAUAUGCUUCAAUGAUUUAAAUCAAGUUUCAAGCAUUGCUCACCACAAAAUUAACGAUUACAUAACAUGCCAGCUUUGUUUUUCAAAAUUAAGAAUUAGUAGGCUACAUAAAUGUUAACGAAUAUGGAACCAAUUACUUAAGCCAGCCCAACUGUUCAGGUAUUGUAAUUUAAUUUUUGAUAAUUAUCAGCAGACUCAAAACGUUUCAUGAAUAUGGGAUACAAGAACUUGUUUUUGAAAUAGCAAAAUCACCAUUCUUAAUAUUGCAAUAACAGAAUGCAGAAGUCUAUUUUUUGCAUUAAUCUAUACCCAAUCCUCUCUAUUGGUUUCCACUAGAUAUGCAGUAUCUGCCACACAUCACAGCCUCCUGGCUGGCACUUAAUCUACCCAGCAUUAACUUCAACAUAAAAAUAAAAUAAAAUAACUCCAAAAUCUCAAAUUGCAAUCCUCAUUAUUCACGCAACCCUAAAAUUCUUCCGUUCUUAUUCACCAAAGAGCCCAAUACCUUUAAUAUGCCUUAGUUCAACACACACAACCUCACUGGAAACAUUGACAAAAGAAAAACUAUUGUUUACCUUCUCUGCAACAACACGAUCACCAACAUCAAAAGUGGGAUACAUCGACAAUGAAGGAAUAUACCUAGGCUCAGCAAUAAAAGACCGAAAGGCAAGCGAAAUCACUAGCGCAGCAAACACAGUCUUUGCGUCAUCAGAAGUGAAAUUCAACCACUCUGGCAAAAUUCCACCACUCUUCUCCACAUCCCCAUCACCAUCAUCCCCACCUCCACUUCCACUACUACUAUCACUACCAUCAUCACCGCCUGAAUUAACCACAGUCUUAGUCUCCUCACCAGAACCCUUAAUCCGAUAGCAUCUUAACCUCAGAAACUGAACUGCAGGAUUUUGAAAUUGGGGGUUUUUGAGAUUGGGUUUAAGGUUCUGAGGGAGAGAGUUGAAAUGGGUAUGUGUGGAAUGAAGGGGUUCUGAAUUCUUGUGAAGACUAAGAAUUGUAAAGCAAAGAUUCUUCUGGGUAUUGGAUAAGGAAUUUGAGGAGAAAUUAGAGUUCUUGAAGGGUGGGGACCAAUGGGACAAGAGAGGGGUAGGAUUUAUAGCAUGUUUAGAGUGAAAAUUGGGGAUUUGCAGGGCAGGCAAAGGAGGUAGCAGUUGCAGAGAUAUCAUAUCUACUCAGAGUUGGGUACAGAGUGAGCUUGACAAUACCAGUGCCUUUUACGGCCUUCUACUUAAAAUGCCUCCAUGGGGUAUCAGCUUUGGACGACGGCUGUUAUAAUUCUAUAACCCACAAUAUUUCUCUGCGGAAACUAUUCACCGGCGACCUUCCUUGCGCUUCCACUCACUGAGAAUCGUCUGUUGUCCUUUUUUCUUCUUUGAGUCUCUGUUUUUCCCUUUCCUCAGGAGUAGGCCAGUAGCCUUGCCUCUAUCGGAGAAGCUUAAGGAAGUACGAUGAACGGCUUAGAUCAACUGACGUGUAAAAAUAAAUCAUGUAA
rnacentral:misc_RNA from 1 species